UUGUAGUUUUAACUACUCACUUGUAUUGUUUUCUGGAAAUAAAAAUUAAAUAAAAUUAAUAUUUCCAGGGAUCUAGUCCAGAGAUCUAGUCCAGGGGAUCUAGUCCAGAAAUCUAGUCCAGGAGUUCUGAAGACUAGGUAAAGUAAUCAAGUCCAGGAGACUAGGCCUGGGAGAAAUUUGGCAUGAUGUAAUGAGUAAUAAAGAAACAAGCUGAAUACCAGGAAUUUUCUUCAAUACCCCUAAAAUGGAAAUCAGCACUUCAACUGCCUCCCAGUGGGAAGACAUCACCUGGCCUCAUCAGUAGUAAGACCCAUACACACAAGGAAUAUCAUGUAAUAGCAGGUAGGACAGGCCUACCCUAUUUUCCAGGCAGUGUAAAGAUCAGUCUUCACACCCACCGUGUCAACUAUGACACAGUACCAUUCUCCGACCCGUGUCUCCAGGCAAGAAGACUGACAAAAGUGUAUAUGUAUACAAAUAGUAUUAUUAUUCUUAUUCUCGUAUCUUAAUGUCGUGGUGAGGGAAAAUCCUCCUGCGACAUUUGGUGGCAGCAGUGGGAUCUGUAGUCCAAUGCUAUGGAUCCAGACCCAUUGUGCCUAUAUAUUAUGUAGGUCACUUAUAAUGUUUUGACGUAUGGUAUGCAUUUCUUUAUACAAUAUUGUUGAUUUUUGUCUGAUUAAGGUCAUGACUUGUUUACAUGCAUAUUCAUUAUUUCUGUAGGGAGAUGUAUGGCAUUGUCUCUUAAUGUAGUUUAUAUUUUAUUAUUUGAUUAUAUAUGUAAGUGUUUGAAAUAUUGUAACAAUGGCGACUGGAACUGAUGAAUCAUAUAUUGAUCUAAUUCAGUUAGAACAAGAAACACAACAAACAUUACAGACAAUUAAGAGCUUCACUCAAUCCUACCAGGACGUUUGGUCUCAAGUGGGAGAUUUAUCAAGUCAAAUCAAGGACUUGGACCAGAAGUUGGUUGACAUACAGGGGACAAUACAACACUUAACACCCAAACAUAAUAACACUCAACCACCCAUAAUGUCUACACCACAUACAUCUCACAUUCCAAGUGAUGAAGAAUGGUUGGUUACAAGGAACGAGCACUCUGAAAAUGUGCCUGAUAUAGUAACUGAAGGAGUUCGUACAAGAGGUGCUAGGAAUAUUGUGCCUCCCUCACGUCUCAUUGAGGAGAUAUAGACUCUGUGAUGAUGUACAGUACUGUAAUUUUGUAUGUUUUGUAUUCUUUUUUUUCUUAGUUUGAGAUUGAGGAAAAUGUAAUUUUUUCUGUUCGCAGUGGCCAGUAAUGUGAAAACUUUAUCGUUUUGAGGUAAUGAACAAAGGAAUGAUGUAAAACAUUUUGUGCAAGAAUUCACAUAGUGCCCUGGUUGGGAAUGCGAUUGUGGUCUUAUGGGUCUUGUCUUAUAGGAAAUUAUCAGAGUUUUGCUCUUGUAGUACUGGUUUGGUACAUCUUAGAGGAUAGAGUACACCACUUUCCAAACCCCUUUGAGAUUCAAGUUUAGAGUUGUUUCUAGCCAAUAGCGCUGGUGAGUUUGAUAAUCAUUAGGACGUCUCAAUAGGAGUAAAUUCUGUCUUCACAUGUGGAGAACUCUUUUGUUGCAGAGUGAUGUGACAUCCUGUGUAAGUGGAGUCAAUCUAACCCCAGUAUUAGGCUAGACAAAGCUAUUAGGAAAGCUGUAUUGAACACACACCUAUAGGGUAGUGUCCCCAUUUAGUACUCAAGUAUAUCCUUGUGUUAUGUUGUUGCAAGGGCCCCCUUAGUCUCUAGUUGAGAUCGUUGCUUGUUUCUAUUGUUCAAGACCUGUUUUUCCACAGUCGCAGACCCAUCUAAGGAGCUGUUUGGUUCCGUUAGGAAAAGUUGUCCUUGAUAUUAGAGUGGACAUGAAUCAAUUCUUCCCCGAGGGAAAAGCUUUGUAAUGGGAAAAAUAUUCCUUUAAUUAUUAGUGAUUUAUUUAGGAAUUGAUUCAUCAUCCUCCUCUAAUAUCUUUACACUACUGUUUUAAGAGUGAUUGGAACUGUGAAAUGUUUUCGUUGUGGGCACGAGAGUGGCAAUGUAGCCAGUCCCUUGUUUUGUUUAUAUCUCACUUUGAGUAUGGGAACGCUGGCCUGAAUCUUUCGUCUGCAAUUUGGUAACACUAGCAACACAUGUAAGAAUCACGAAUGGUCUCGAGUGUGAGGACGUCAAUUGGUCCACCCUUUCAUUUUGGCUAUUUUACCAAAUUAUUAAUACAAAUGAUUAUCUAUCCCUUGCAAGGGAUCUAGUCCAGAGAUCUAGUCCAGGGGAUCUAGUCCAGAAAUCUAGUCCAGGAGUUCUGAAGACUAGGUAAAGUAAUCAAGUCCAGGAGACUAGGCCUGGGAGAAAUUUGGCAUGAUGUAAUGAGUAAUAAAGAAACAAGCUGAA